rnacentral:rRNA from 1 species
UGGGGAAUAUUGGACAAUGGGCGAAAGCCUGAUCCAGCAAUGCCGCGUGUGUGAAGAAGGCCUGCGGGUUGUAAAGCACUUUCAGUAGGGAAGAUAGUGACGGUACCUACAGAAGAAGCACCGGCUAACUCCGUGCCAGCAGCCGCGGUAAUACGGAGGGUGCGAGCGUUAAUCGGAAUUACUGGGCGUAAAGCGCGCGUAGGCGGCUUGGUAAGUCGGAUGUGAAAGCCCAGGGCUUAACCUUGGAAUUGCAUUCGAUACUGCCAAACUCGAGUGUGGUAGAGGGUAGUGGAAUUCCUGGUGUAGCGGUGAAAUGCGUAGAUAUCAGGAGGAACAUCGGUGGCGAAGGCGGCUACCUGGACCAACACUGACGCUGAGGUGCGAAAGCGUGGGGAGCAAACAGGAUUAGAUACCCCCGUAGUCC